rnacentral:tRNA from 1 species
AUAUAAAUAGUAUAUAACAUUACAUAAGUUUUUCGUACUUAAAAUACAGUACUUACUGUUUUAUAUA